AUGCAAGUCGAACGAUGAAGCCCAGCUUGCUGGGUGGAUUAGUGGCGAACGGGUGAGUAACACGUGAGUAACCUGCCCUUAACUCUGGGAUAAGCCUGGGAAACUGGGUCUAAUACCGGAUAGGAGCGCCUACCGCAUGGUGGGUGUUGGAAAGAUUUAUCGGUUUUGGAUGGACUCGCGGCCUAUCAGCUUGUUGGUGAGGUAAUGGCUCACCAAGGCGACGACGGGUAGCCGGCCUGAGAGGGUGACCGGCCACACUGGGACUGAGACACGGCCCAGACUCCUACGGGAGGCAGCAGUGGGGAAUAUUGCACAAUGGGCGCAAGCCUGAUGCAGCGACGCCGCGUGAGGGAUGACGGCCUUCGGGUUGUAAACCUCUUUCAGUAGGGAAGAAGCGAAAGUGACGGUACCUGCAGAAGAAGCACCGGCUAACUACGUGCCAGCAGCCGCGGUAAUACGUAGGGUGCGAGCGUUAUCCGGAAUUAUUGGGCGUAAAGAGCUCGUAGGCGGUUUGUCGCGUCUGUCGUGAAAGUCCGGGGCUUAACCCCGGAUCUGCGGUGGGUACGGGCAGACUAGAGUGCAGUAGGGGAGACUGGAAUUCCUGGUGUAGCGGUGGAAUGCGCAGAUAUCAGGAGGAACACCGAUGGCGAAGGCAGGUCUCUGGGCUGUAACUGACGCUGAGGAGCGAAAGCAUGGGGAGCGAACAGGAUUAGAUACCCUGGUAGUCCAUGCCGUAAACGUUGGGCACUAGGUGUGGGGACCAUUCCACGGUUUCCGCGCCGCAGCUAACGCAUUAAGUGCCCCGCCUGGGGAGUACGGCCGCAAGGCUAAAACUCAAAGGAAUUGACGGGGGCCCGCACAAGCGGCGGAGCAUGCGGAUUAAUUCGAUGCAACGCGAAGAACCUUACCAAGGCUUGACAUGUUCUCGAUCGCCGUAGAGAUACGGUUUCCCCUUUGGGGCGGGUUCACAGGUGGUGCAUGGUUGUCGUCAGCUCGUGUCGUGAGAUGUUGGGUUAAGUCCCGCAACGAGCGCAACCCUCGUUCCAUGUUGCCAGCACGUAAUGGUGG
rnacentral:rRNA from 1 species